rnacentral:rRNA from 1 species
AACGAACGCUGGCGGCAUGCCUAACACAUGCAAGUCGAACGAGCACAUCGGGUCUAGUGGCGUACGGGUGUGUAACGCGUGGGAACAUGACCUUAGGUUCGGAAUAACUACACGACAGGGGUGAUAAUACCGGAUAAUGUCUUCUGACCGAAGAUUUAUCGCACUUGGUUGGGCCCGAGUUGAAUAAGCUUGUUGUUAGGGUAAAAGAUUCACAAGGCGACGAUUCAUAGCUUGGAUGUGAGAAUGGUCAGCCACACCUGGACUGAGACACGGCCCGGACUCCUACGGGAGGCGGGAGUGGGGAAUAGAGGACAAUCGGCUAAGGCCUGAUCGUGCAAUGCCGCUAGAGUGAUGAAGGCCUGAGGGUUGUAAAGCUCAUGUAACCGUGAUGAUAAUGACAGUACCUAGAGAAUAAGCCCCGGCUAACUCCGUG